rnacentral:misc_RNA from 1 species
UUCCCCAACUUCACCUAAGCAAAUGGCAGAGCCUCAGGCAUACAAAGGAGAGGAAGGGAAACAAAGUCUAUCAAGUCAUGUGCAACAAAAACUGCCGAGAAAGGCUCUUAGUCUGCAUCCAUUUCUUCUAAUGCGGUCUUGGCAGCAGCCUUGGCUUCUUCCAGGAGAUCAGUUGGUACCUUCUGAUGCUGGCGAUUUGACUCAUCACACACCCAGCUCAUUUCCAGUUCAAAGGCUUUGUCUUUCGCCUCAUCGUGUACUCCAUAGAUUAUCUUCGCAACUUCUAUGACUCCUUCCCUGCAAGUCAUUUCAGACAGCUUCAACUUCUCAACCUCGGUUUUUGCAGCCUGCCUACCCUUCCCAAUUGCAGCACCGAAGUAUCUAUGUGAAAUUCCCGAGGGUUCAACCAUGUAAAGUUGUGGACCGUCUCUAUCAUAACCACCAAGAAUGAUUCCGGAACCAAAAGGCCUCAACCACCAAUAAAGAGUGCACAGAUGAACAUAACUUGCCACCCGUUCAGCAAGUUCCUUCACAGGUAUGGGUUCACCAUAUGUUUUUUCAUAGCUGGUUGCUUCAGACUUCGCACGUGCAACAAUUUGCCGGCCAUCUGCUGCUAAGCCAGCCACAGCCAUGCCGGAAUGCCGAUGGACGGAGUGGAUCCUCCUAUUCGACCCCGCCAGCAUCAUCUUCGACGAGAUCAGCUUCUCCACGCCCAGAACGAUCCCAUCCUUGCACUUGAUCCCGAUAACAGUCCCGCUGUUGUCGACGGCCUUGGCGGCGUACUCGAUCUGGAAUACCCGGCCGUCCGGCGAGAAGGUGGUGACGGAGAGGUCGUAGCCGGUGCCGAUGCUGCUCAUGGUGGUGGCUGGAUCGGACGAG